UACAGAGAGUGCAAGCGUUAAUCGGAAUUACUGGGCGUAAAGCGCGCGUAGGUGGAUGCUUAAGUCGGAUGUGAAAGCCCUGGGCUUAACCUGGGAACUGCAUUCGAUACUGGGCGUCUAGAGUAUAGUAGAGGGAAGUGGAAUUUCAGGUGUAGCGGUGAAAUGCGUAGAUAUCUGAAGGAACAUCAGUGGCGAAAGCGGCUUCCUGGACUAAUACUGACACUGAGGUGCGAAAGCGUGGGGAGCAAACAGG
rnacentral:misc_RNA from 1 species